rnacentral:misc_RNA from 1 species
UCUCUCUCUCUCUCUCUCUACGGUGCUAUAAUGUUGAUCUAGAAACGCCAAUAUUUUUGAAGGACUUGUUACCAAUUUGUAAAUUGACAUCCACAAAUUUUAAUAAAGAAAUUUGAUAGUUUGAUAUGAACAAAUGCUAUACAGAUUUGUUCAUAUUUCUGUCUGUAUAGCAUUCGAUUGGCAUUUGAUAGUGUUCAGAAACAUGAACAAAUCUGAACACUACAAUAAAUGAAAUAGAAUAUCCGGAGGAUGGGCAUAAUCAGUUGGGGCACAUCUCUUCUUUCCUUUUUCCCCUUGAAAUAUGAAAAGGUUCAAGGGACUACAAAGCUGUCCAAAUUACUUGAGUUCAUUAGGAAAUGCAGAGGUGAAGCAUCAGGAUACUUGCUGUAUCGGUUUCUUGCCAGCGACUUCAGUGUACCAUGAU